AUUGAACGCUGGCGGCAUGCCUUACACAUGCAAGUCGAACGGCAGCACGGGUGCUUGCACCUGGUGGCGAGUGGCGAACGGGUGAGUAAUACAUCGGAACAUGUCCUGUAGUGGGGGAUAGCCCGGCGAAAGCCGGAUUAAUACCGCAUACGAUCUACGGAUGAAAGCGGGGGACCUUCGGGCCUCGCGUUGUAGGGUUGGUCGAUGGCUGAUUAGCUAGUUGGGGGGGUAAAGGCCUACCAAGGCGACGAGCAGUAGCUGGUCUGAGGGGACGACCAGCCACACGGGGACUGAGACACGGCCCAGACUCCUACGGGGGGCAGCAGUGGGGAAUUUUGGACAAUGGGCGAAAGCCUGAUCCAGCAAUGCCGCGUGUGGGAAGAAGGCCUUCGGGUUGUAGAGCACUUUUGUCCGGAAAGAAAUCCUUGGCCCUAAUACGGUCGGGGGAUGACGGUACCGGAAGAAUAAGCACCGGCUAACUACGUG
rnacentral:rRNA from 1 species